AAAGGGCCAAGUUUGAAGAACCCUGCUCAUAAAUCACUUUUUUCCGGUGUUGUUAACUUUAAAUGGGUCAUUAAAAGAACUGUUGUAAGUGGAGGACUUAUCUGUAGUCGCAAUUAAAAUACUUAAACCUGGUUUGUCCCUGGAAUUCAUCCUAUUGUGAACACUAAAUGUAUUUAUGUUUUACCGUGUCCCAACACUUUUUAAGGCGGAUCAACUGUCCUUCCAAACCUUCUUUGACAUGCAAUGGCAUUGAGUUUGGCUGCUGUGAGAGGGUUGCCGAUGCUAAUGGCUGGAUUUGAAAGUUAAAAGAACAGACCUGGUUUUUUUUUUCUGAAAAAGAGCCUGAUUUGUUUGUUGUCCUGGAAAAGGUGGUAUUGAAGGUCCAAGUGUCACGUUCGGAUGAGCUCUGGGAUCUUGCUAACUGCCUAGAUUUUGUAGGCGAAGUUCUGGGCCUUUUUGUUUUUGGAGAACAUCUCUGGAGCAUCUUCCUGCAGGCUUUAUUAUUUUUGCAAGAACAAUCCAUGGAUUUGGGGAAAGCAAUGAAUUAUGCAUGGAAUCGUGAGUGACCCCGUGAAGCUUGGCUGGUUGUUCCUCACUGUAAUUGUGUGUAAGAGACAGGAGGGGAGGACCUUGCCAAUAAAAGUGUUCCUUGAAAUCUCCACCAAGUUUGGCCUCUUUGCACUGGGCAGAGCUAAAUGACAAUGCGUGUGGACAGAGGGCAUCACCGGUGCCGUAACUUUCCACGGAGACAGUUGUCGGCAAACAGAUGGUUCAAGGGCAGAACAUCCUUCGCUUGAGGUCCCCUGUGGUGUGUUUCCUCCAGGGCUUCAAGUUUACGUCAACUUGGACAAACACCAAGGAAAGGGGCAGCGUUCCCCCCCCCAAAAAAAGAUUUAGCAGAUCGCUUUUUCAGAAUUACGACAAGUCACAUCUUUCUUGUCCUUGCACCCAUCUAUGGGAAAAGAGAAGGAGCGCCUACAGUGCCAACAUGAUUGGAGCAGAGCCUAAGGAGAGACUUCACCCAACCUCAAGCACCUCAAAGUCUCAAAUCAACUCCCCAUGGAAAUGCAAUAACAGGAAGGAAAAAACAGGUCCAUUCUGAAGGAUGCUGAGUGGGGAAGACAGGAAGUAUGGUGAACAGAACAUAGUAUGAUCUGGGCCAAGUAGAUUUACAGUUUCCAGGCCAUCAAAUUUGGCUUGAACCUAUGGAAACAUAUCCUAAAGGAAGAUCAUUCUGAAGAGGAGUAAUUCUAAUAAAGGCUUGACAGGGAAACAAUUCAGAGCCACCUGACUUUUCCAUCCGGUGAGAGGCCAAGCAAGAGUACAAGGAGACCCUCCCAACGUUCCUCUUUUGCAAAACCUCCAGUCAGCUUCUUCCCGAGAUCUCCGUGUGCUUUUUUUCCAAACAUCUGCUUAAGAAACCAUAAGCUUUUCCCUAACCCUCUGAAAUACCAUUCAGAAAGCAAUUUGAGACAAUUGCCUCCACGCUCUUGGAGUCGGGCAGAAGGUUUAAAAAAAGCGUUUCUCCCUCCGUGCAUUGAAAAUGUUGUGCUUUUUUUUGGGGGGGGGGAUAUUUUGCUGAAACAGGGAGGAGAAAAGCUCUCCAAUGCAAAACCUGCUCAGGACGCCAAAACUGAACUCAGAAAUGGAGACGAGGAUGUGUGUGUGUGUAUAUUUCAGGAGCCCCCUUGUCUACAAACAUCUAUGUGAGCUUUUCCGGGUUCUCUACUCUUUUGCCUUCUUCCCACCGUCUUGGCGACACUGGGAGAUGUGUGAUCCUAAUUGUACUUAAUUGUCUCCUCCUCCACCAGACUUUCCCACCAUCCCUGCAAAAAAGAUCUUUUCGUGGAACGAAUCAGCCUGUGCAACUUAACAGAAUAACAGAGUUGGAAGGGACCUUGAAGGUCUUCUAGUCCACCCCCCUGCUCCAGCAGGAAGCCCUAUAGUACCAUUUCAGGCAAAUGGCUGUCUGGUUUUUCCUUGAAGAUCUCCAGGGAUGGAAGCACCCACAACUUCGCGAGGCAGGUCGUUCCGCUCAUUAAUUUGGGAAAAUGGAUCUUCCCAAUCACGCUCAGAAUUCUACUCUCUUUCAAGGGGACAUAAAUAACUUUUCUCUUCUUGAAUUCCCACCAGCUCAUCCCGUUUUACUCUGGGCGCCUACAAUAACCCAGGACACAACAGGGUGCUUUGAAAAUGAAUACUGAGUCAAUUGUAAAUAGGCUGGAAUUGCAUAGGAGAGAGUUGCAGAGGGGGAGGGAUCAGGAGAGAGAAAUUUCAGCUAGUCCUUGGCUUAUGACCGAUUGCUUAACAACUGUUGGAAGUUGCAACGGACUUCAAAAAAGAUACCUCAAAGUUGUGAUUGCUGGCUGCCCGCGAUUGCAUUUCAGGGGCUCGGCAGCCAACUUGUAUGGAUGACCACGAUCAUCUAACCAGGAUUUAUGACUUUUUUUGGCUGUUUUCCAGCAGAAAACACCCAUUGGUUAGGCUGGAUUCGCUUAACGACCACGUGGUUUGCUUAAAGUUUGCAGUGACUCGCUUAAACCCAAUUAGCAACCAUGCCUUACGAGUGAAAUUCCAGACUCAGCUGAGGUCCUAAACUGAUAAUUACCUGCAGUCUAGGGGAGGGAAGUUACAGUAAUUGACACACGUCAGUGGGAAACUGACAGCCUCAGGACAAGCAUGCUGGGACUUGUAGUUCAGCCACUGGCGGCGGAGGAGAGAAAUAAACCUUGCAGUCAAAGGGUCCGUGCUGCACGAGAGGGAUGGGAUGUCUGAACAGGAAAAUAGGGACAUUUAUCAGGUUUCCUGUUUCUUAACCAGUGUUUCCCCUCCAGGGCAGAGACAGGGAGCCUCAGAGCCCCCCAGGGACACAGUCAUCGAUCGGACCUCUCUGUCGGGAGAGCGGCAUAACUUGGUUUGGCAAUGAUGGAGCCCACCUCGCUCACCGAAGCAGCUCAGGUGCCUGGGGAGACAGUUCACAAAUGCCACCUCAGCCUUAAUGUCCUCAUUUCCAUGGUUCCGGGCUAAAAUGGCCACAUUUGCAUUUAAAUCGAGCAGAGGGAGUCUGUAAAUCUCCAUUUUCUUAGCGAGUGGGAAUAAUGGGGGCUUAAUCUCCUUCGGAAGGGGGCUUCUCCAAGCGGCAUCAAUCCUGAAGAAGACGGAGAGGACGGGGGCAUAUCAAGUUCCUGGCGCAAAAUCGGAAGCCAGCAAAUAUGUAUUCCUUGAAAAGCUUUCGCCCCAGGCCUGACACAGGUCGGCCGUGGAGAACUGGAGAGAAUCACCUCGACUUACAACAGUUCAUUUAGUGACCAUUAUGACAGUACAAAAAAGGUGAUUCUUGGCUGCUUUUCACACGAAUGACCCAUGCAGCGUCCCCGUGGGUCAUGUGAUCAACAUUCAGA